GGCCAACAUGCACUGGCGAAUCCGUAGCUGUAUCUCCACUGGUGUAACUUAAGGAAUGAUAUGGAUGUAUACCCUUUAUUUUCAGAACAGAAUCACUGUGAGUGUGAGUCUUGGACAGUUUCCUCAUGAUCUCAGCACCAGUAACAGGCCCAGAAGAGCCACUAGUAGGUGGAGGGCGAUUAGCUGUUCCUUCCAAGAGCAUUGUAUGCUCACUGACAGUAGCUGCAUCAAAUUCAAACUCUGCUCCAUCAGCACUUGUGUCACUCUGAAGACCCCC
rnacentral:lncRNA from 1 species